AUUGAACGCUGGCGGAAUGCCUUACACAUGCAAGUCGAACGGCAGCAUGGGAGCAAUCCUGGUGGCGAGUGGCGAACGGGUGAGUAAUGUAUCGGAACGUGCCCAGUCGUGGGGGAUAACGUAGCGAAAGCUACGCUAAUACAGCAUACGAUCUAUGGAUGAAAGCGGGGGAUCGCAAGACCUCGCGCGAUUGGAGCGGCCGACAUCAGAUUAGGUAGUUGGUGGGGUAAAGGCCCACCAAGCCUGCGAUCUGUAGCUGGUCUGAGAGGACGACCGGCCACGCUGGAACUGAGACACGGUCCAGACUCCUACGGGAGGCAGCAGUGGGGAAUUUUGGACAAUGGGCGCAAGCCUGAUCCAGCAAUGCCGCGUGCAGGAUGAAGGCCUUCGGGUUGUAAACUGCUUUUGUACGGAACGAAACGGCUUUUUCUAAUACAGAGAGCUAAUGACGGUACCGUAAGAAUAAGCACCGGCUAAUUACGUGCCAGCCGCCGCAGUAA
rnacentral:rRNA from 1 species